UAAUGCCUAACUCAUAAGGUUUCUCUGAGAACUAAGUAAUCAUAUAUACACAUAUAUAAAAUAUGUGAGUGUAUGUAUACACACACACACACACACAAAGAGAGAGACAGAGAGGGAGAGCACUUUGCACAUGGUAGAUAAUAAAUUUGCCCUCCCUUUCUUCUCAGCUCCUGGACUAUAAUGCAGAGAGAACCAAUGUUUAUCCAGCUUGUCAUCUGAAUCCCUGCUUUCUUUACAGACUCCUCACAACCUACAGUGUCAAUUUCGGACCAGGUUGUAGCCAUCUGCCUUCCUAAAUAGCCCUAAACGAUGUCGGAGGUUCUGACAACCUUCACUGCUGCUGAUCCACAGCCCCUGCAAGAAAGGACCCUGCGCAGCUGCGCUCACCCACGAGGGAUUUUUGCACCAGUUUCUCCAGACCUCCGGGACCCAUGCUGGGAGCCGGCUUCAGAUGGUAAUUAUUCUCAGCUGCAGCCCUGGCCCCAUUAACGACGGAACUCUAGAGAUGAAAAGUCCUCAAUCCUAUUAUCGGUCCCUACUUCAAACAUGAACUCUGGGACUUGAAGGCUCUUCGUGUGGCUUCCUCAGCUUAAUGAUGCUGCUCGCACCUCCUACCUGAAGACAGCACUCAUUAUGGCACUAAGAUUCACGGCCAUGUUUCAGUUAAUUGAGUUCAUUUGCUAGUUUGCAAAGAAACACAAUUAAUAAAAGAAGCCGUGCAUGUCAUUUUUUUGCAGGUCAGCUUUGAAAUGAUAACUGUUUUGACUGAUCUCCUGUGAGUAAAAUGAAGAAAACAGUUCACGCUGAAUCAUUCACAUGCGGAGGAUGUUUCAGCUAAGAAAUGAGCAGAUGGUCCAGGGAAUAAAGAAAAUGAUGCUUCUCGGCUCAAAGUUUCUUGACUGGUGUGAGCUCAUUCCUUCUGAGAUGGGGGCAAGUCUUGAACACUUUCAGUGGAUUUUCCCAUCAGUAAGCGGAUGCUGCUUAUCCACACAGGCAUCUUUCCAACUCCAGAGUGGAACAUCAACUUUAAGGUCCAAGACCAGGUGUGAUGGAGGAAAAGAGCACUGGACACGGAGUCACAUCUCUGAGCACCACACACCUGAAUUCAACAUGUCAAUCAAGAGAAACUCCUUAGUCUCUCGAAGUCUCCCAUUCCCCAUCUUUAAAUGAGCUGAUUGGAAGGGAUGAUCCUGAAGCUUCACCCCAGCCCACAUUCCCCAGGGUUGAUAAGGAUGAGGGUAGAAUGUCUGUUCCUUCCAGACAGAAUCUUAUCUAAUCUUCAGAAGAUCAAGGAAGCUUGAUUCCAUGGGGAGGCCUCAUUCCCAGGGAUGCCCAGGCCAUCUAAGUACGGGGAACACAACUCUUGGGCUUCUUCAACUUUGAGGGAAGAGUUUCCACUACCUGCCAUGUCAGCUCAUCAAAUUAACAAGUUCAAACACAACACAGAUCCCCAGCUGCUGGCCUUCUCACAGCCUGAGAGAAGCACGGACGUCUCUCCACACUAAUUGUAUUGGCAAGGCUGCAAAGCCAGUGACUGUACACCAUUCAAUUCAACAUGAGGAAGAAUUUUCUCUGUCGGUCACCCUGUGUGGGCUGUCCCAGGAGGCCUCCCACUGCAGGCUCCAGCACAGGCCAGAUGUGAGAGAGGAUCUUCCUGCCCCAAGGGGUGGAGUACUGUGGCACUCACAGUGUGGCCCUCGGACCAGCAUGGGCAUCGCUGAGGGGCUUGAUGGAAAUCCCAAUGGCCUGAGUCACACUCUGAGUUGCAUGAAGUUCUCGGCUGGUUCCUGUGCACAUGAAAGUCUGAGAAUUGCUGGGAAUGGGGAGGAGUCAUAGUAACAGCCCAGAUGUCUUCUACAUAAUCUCUUGUAGGGGAGCUGAGCUGGGAGGUGAGGGCUGGAGCAGAGACUACACAGAGCCCCUCUGCAGAGGGCAGCUGGGCUAGGGGACAAGUUCAUUUAGAUCUAAUUUUUAUCUUCUCCAAGCUUCUCUAUUUCUCUCUAAACCUGAAAUUCCAUUCAAGCAGGAGUAGUCCUGUUCUAUCUGCAUGGAUUCCCUCUCAGAUCCUUCUGUCCCAACUGGAUGAUGGACACUAAUUUGAGCUGAGUUCACUCCUAGGCAGGGGGUGAAUGUCAGUCUGUCUCUCACCCACAUUGAGGCGGUCAUAGGAGAGAAGAAUCACACCUGUGGGUUAUUUUCUCAAAGUUGCUUUCACCCAUGAAGAUUAGACGUGAUAUGAGGGGGUCUACCAUCCACAAGGUUAGCUUUGCCAAGUGUGUUGUGUAGACUCUCUCGCCUGAAAGAGCUCAGCACAUUUUGGAUUUUAAAGAAGUGGUCCUAGAUGCAGGACGAGUUGUAAAUGAGAGAAAAGCAAACGUGAGACCAGAGGGCCAGUGGCUUUUUGUCAAGGAUGGGGGUCUGGAUGUGCCCCCAGUGCAGCAUCUGUGGACUGCCUGUCUUGAUUAGUAGGGGUGAGGCUCACCUCCUGCAGAUUGUCCAUGGUCUUCCUUAUUUUGGAAAAACCUUUUGAGCAGGGAGUUACUUUAUAGAGAGAUUGUCACCUAAAAGGUGUUUGAUAUUCAAUUAGGUUGGCAGUCCUUAAGGUGAAUAGCUGUCCACAUCAGACUUUGCAGACAGGCUUCAUUCCUGGGGGGAGGGCCAAGUGUGCACUGCUCCGAUGCUGGACGUGACAGAUCCUUCUCAUGGCUGGGACAGGGGUUGAGACCUCAUUGCUAACCAGCACAAGCGGUCUACUGCCACAGAGUGGUGAGCUCUCUCUAGUUCCUUCUUCCCAUCCCCAGAAGGCAGUUAGAAAGGACUCACCUCCCCCACACCCUCAGAUUAAAAAAGUCUUAGUUCUUUGUAGCUGAACUGCAUUCUCGCUUGCACACCAAUCUUACAACAUCAGAAUGACCCUACUGACUGAAAGUUGCCAUCAAAAUUCCAUCAUAUUUAUCCACCAAUCAACUAAUUCUUAGUGUGCGAUCUGUAGGAUUGUCAUUGCUUCUGUAGGUGCAAUCUUCUAAGGCUGAUAAAAUUUCUAGUUUUUAAAUCUCAGGAAUAAUUUGUUUUCACAGAGAUUCAAUUGACUUCAUUUUUAAUUACAGUUUAGCGCAAAGCUGUGGUAAAAAAAAUAAUAAAUUGUAGUUAAUAGGAACAUGAGAACUAAUGUUUGGAAUAAUCCGCUGAUAUAAAGGUAAUGUUGAUCCAACUUAGCAUAUGAGAGCUCAGAGCCUUGUGUUUCCUGCUUUACUCAGGAAAAACUAAUUCCAAUAUAAAUGCAUGGUGGGAUAUGUCAGACAUUGUUGUGGUUAACACUUUGCCUUAAAAUUGAGAAUAAGUGGGGUGUGAAAUUUGGCCCAGGUGGCAUCCCGUAGCACAUUUUCUCACAUAAACCACAGCGUAAAGUCUGACCUUUUGGUGUCUAGCAACAUGGAAUUUGUACUGCCUUUAAUCUCACUCACUGGUGAAAUUGGCAGUAAUUUCAGUCCUGCAAUAGGCCGUCAGCUGGGUACCUGAGGGUUUUCUUUCUGGGAAAAUUCCAUGUGAGCUUUGGGAGUCUUAUAUCUAUUCUGAGUCCUCUUAACUUUCUCUGUCCCAUCUGCUGUAACUUUCCACAAGCUCCUCUACGUGCUACAGCUGAAUUAUUGACCACAGUUUGCUGAGA
ensembl:lncRNA